rnacentral:lncRNA from 1 species
AUGGGGAUGAGGGAGAGGAUGGGGAUGUGGGAGGGGUGUAAGCAGAGGCCAGGCCCCUGCUCUGUGGGGCUGGGCCUGGUGCCUCACAGGGAUAUGCAGGGGGCUGCUCUUCUGCAGGCUGUCAGUGCUGAGCCAACUACCUCUGGUCUCCCGGAGUUAACUCUUGAGAAGCUGCCACAAGUCCAACGCUUGGCCUUUCUCCCCCGUCUCACCAAACAGACCUUGCCCUGUGACCUGAGGGUUCCCCCAGAGCCCAGCGCUGCACGGCACUGGGACAUCCACCUUCCAGCCCCUUGUGGAAGAGAAAAGAAACUUUCCGUGUCCUCCCAGACUUCAUGCACGCCCCUCAGACCCUCAGACUGCCCACGACCCCCUCGCUCAGCUCAGCGCCCGCUGCCCGCGUUGCUGGUGGGCGGCUGCAGCAUUUCAACCUCCUCCAGCUGGAAAGUGUUGCCAGAGUGA